GACGAACCGAGCGAACGUUGUUCGGAAUCACUGGGCUUAAAGGGCGCGUAGGCGGGCUGCCGCGUCCGGGGUGAAAGCCCCCCGCUCAACGGGGGAACGGCCUCGGAUACGGGCGGCCUCGAGGGGGGUAGGGGCGUGCGGAACUGUGGGUGGAGCGGUGAAAUGCGUUGAGAUCCACAGGAACUCCGGUGGCGAAGGCGGCACGCUGGACCCUCACUGACGCUGAGGCGCGAAAGCCAGGGGAGCGAACGGG
rnacentral:rRNA from 1 species